GCGUGCCUAAUACAUGCAAGUCGAGCGGACAGAUGGGAGCUUGCUCCCUGAUGUUAGCGGCGGACGGGUGAGUAACACGUGGGUAACCUGCCUGUAAGACUGGGAUAACUCCGGGAAACCGGGGCUAAUACCGGAUGGUUGUUUGAACCGCAUGGUUCAAACAUAAAAGGUGGCUUCGGCUACCACUUACAGAUGGACCCGCGGCGCAUUAGCUAGUUGGUGAGGUAACGGCUCACCAAGGCAACGAUGCGUAGCCGACCUGAGAGGGUGAUCGGCCACACUGGGACUGAGACACGGCCCAGACUCCUACGGGAGGCAGCAGUAGGGAAUCUUCCGCAAUGGACGAAAGUCUGACGGAGCAACGCCGCGUGAGUGAUGAAGGUUUUCGGAUCGUAAAGCUCUGUUGUUAGGGAAGAACAAGUACCGUUCGAAUAGGGCGGUACCUUGACGGUACCUAACCAGAAAGCCACGGCUAACUACGUGCCAGCAGCCGCGGUAAUACGUAGGUGGCAAGCGUUGUCCGGAAUUAUUGGGCGUAAAGGGCUCGCAGGCGGUUUCUUAAGUCUGAUGUGAAAGCCCCCGGCUCAACCGGGGAGGGUCAUUGGAAACUGGGGAACUUGAGUGCAGAAGAGGAGAGUGGAAUUCCACGUGUAGCGGUGAAAUGCGUAGAGAUGUGGAGGAACACCAGUGGCGAAGGCGACUCUCUGGUCUGUAACUGACGCUGAGGAGCGAAAGCGUGGGGAGCGAACAGGAUUAGAUACCCUGGUAGUCCACGCCGUAAACGAUGAGUGCUAAGUGUU
rnacentral:rRNA from 1 species